UACGGAGGGGGCCAGCGUUGUUCGGAAUUAUUGGGCGUAAAGGGCGCGUAGGCGGCCUUCUAAGUCAGACGUGAAAUCCCUCGGCUCAACCGGGGAACUGCGUCUGAGACUGGAAGGCUUGAAUCCGGGAGAGGGAUGUGGAAUUCCAGGUGUAGCGGUGAAAUGCGUAGAUAUCUGGAGGAACACCGGUGGCGAAGGCGGCAUCCUGGACCGGUAUUGACGCUGAGGCGCGAAAGCCAGGGGAGCAAACGGG
rnacentral:rRNA from 1 species